CACCGGCGGCUCGAGUGGUGGCCCCUCUUAUUGGGCCUAAAGCGUCCGUAGCCGGCUUGGCAAGUCCCCUGGGAAAUCUGGCGGCUUAACCGUCAGGCGUCCAGAGGAUACUGCCAGGCUUGGGACCGGGAGAGGUGAGAGGUACCUCAGGGGUAGGGGUGAAAUCUUGUGAUCCCUGAGGGACCACCAGUGGCGAAGGCGUCUCACUAGAACGGGUCCGACGGUCAGGGACGAAAGCUGGGGGCACGAACCGG
rnacentral:rRNA from 1 species